GAUGAACGCUGGCGGCGUGCCUAGUACAUGCAAGUCGAGCGAACGGACGAGAAGCUUGCUUCUCUGAUGUUAGCGGCGGACGGGUGAGUAACACGUGGAUAACCUACCUAUAAGACUGGGAUAACUUCGGGAAACCGUAGCUAAUACCGGAUAAUAUUUUGAACCGCAUGGUUCAAAAGUGAAAGACGGUCUUGCUGUCACUUAUAGAUGGAUCCGCGCUGCAUUAGCUAGUUGGUAAGGUAACGGCUUACCAAGGCAACGAUGCAUAGCCGACCUGAGAGGGUGAUCGGCCACACUGGAACUGAGACACGGUCCAGACUCCUACGGGAGGCAGCAGUAGGGAAUCUUCCGCAAUGGGCGAAAGCCUGACGGAGCAACGCCGCGUGAGUGAUGAAGGUCUUCGGAUCGUAAAACUCUGUUAUUAUGGAAGAACAUAUGUGUAAGUAACUGUGCACAUCUUGACGGUACCUAAUCAGAAAGCCACGGCUAACUACGUG
rnacentral:rRNA from 1 species